GAUUUAUUCUACUCAAGCAUUCAGUGGAUGCCUUGGCAGUAAAAACCGAAGAAGGACGUUUCAAGUCUGCGAAAGUUGUCGGGGAGGUGACAAGAACUUAUGAUCCGGCAGUGUCCGAAUGGGGAAACCUAGCCAGAUUUAUCUGGUUGCCCUGAAUUUAUUCAGGACGGGAACUUGGGGAACUGAAAUAUCUAAGUACCCAAAGGAAAAGAAAUCGAAUGAGAGCCCCUUAGUAAGCGACGAGCGAACAGGGGUGAGUCUAAACC
rnacentral:ncRNA from 1 species